UGACAGAUAAGGCUUUCCAUAGUCCCAGGGAUGAAUUUAUAUCCUCGUUCUGUGUAAAGAAAAUUUUGUUCCCUGGAUUACUCAUAAGAGGAGUAUGGGAUAGCGUCGCUUGGCGUUCUGAGCUGUGGGCAGUCUCAAACUGAAGACAGACAGUGUAAUCUCAGCUGCCCUGAGAUAAAUGACGAAGCCACUC
rnacentral:lncRNA from 1 species